AGUUCGGAUUGUAGUCUGCAACCCGACUACAUGAAGCUGGAAUCGCUAGUAAUCGCGAAUCAGAAUGUCGCGGUGAAUACGUUCCCGGGUCUUGUACACACCGCCCGUCACACCAUGGGAGUCGGAAAUGCCCGAAGUCAGUGACCUAACCGAAAGGGAGGAGCUGCCGAAGGUGGAGCCGGUAACUGGGGGUGAAGUCGUAACAAGGUAAC
rnacentral:rRNA from 1 species